UGAAGGGCGUACGGUGGAUGCCUUGGCACUAGGAGCCGAUGAAGGACGCGACGAACAGCGAUAUGCUUCGGGGAGCAGUAAGUAUGCUUUGAUCCGAAGAUUUCCGAAUGGGGGAACCCACCAUCUGUAAUGGGAUGGGACAUGUUACAUGAAUACAUAGUGUANNNNNNNNNNNNNNNNNNNNNNNNNNNNNNNNNNNNNNNNNNUCCCUGAGUAGCGGCGAGCGAAACGGGAACAGCCCAAACCGGAGAGCAUGCUCUUCGGGGUUGUAGGACACUCUANAGGACCUGGAAAGGUCGGCCGAAGAAGGUGACAGCCCUGUAGCUGAAACUGUUUUCCCUCCAGAGUGGAUCCUGAGUACGGCGGGACACGUGAAACCCCGUCGGAAUCCGGGAGGACCAUCUCCCAAGGCUAAAUACUCCCUAGUGACCGAUAGUGAACCAGUACCGUGAGGGAAAGGUGAAAAGCACCCCGGAAGGGGAGUGAAAUAGAUCCUGAAACCGUAUGCCUACAAGUAGUCAGAGCCCGUUAACGGGUGAUGGCGUGCCUUUUGUAGAAUGAACCGGCGAGUUACGAUAACGCGCGAGGUUAAGCCGAUGAGGCGGAGCCGUAGCGAAAGCGAGUCUGAACAGGGCGUUCAGUGCGUUGUCGUAGACCCGAAACCAGGUGAUCUACCCAUGUCCAGGAUGAAGGUCAGGUAACACUGACUGGAGGUCCGAACCCACGCACGUUGAAAAGUGCGGGGAUGAGGUGUGGGUAGCGGUGAAAUGCCAAUCGAACCUGGAGAUAGCUGGUUCUCCCCGAAAUAGCUUUAGGGCUAGCCUCGAGGUUGAGAGUUCUGGAGGUAGAGCACUGAUUGGACUAGGGGCCCCCACAGGGUUACCGAAUUCAGUUAAACUCCGAAUGCCAGCAACUUAUACUCGGGAGUCAGACUGCGAGUGAUAAGAUCCGUAGUCAAGAGGGAAACAGCCCAGACCGCCAGCUAAGGUCCCAAAGUGUAUGUUAAGUGGAAAAGGAUGUGGCGCUGCCUAGACAGCUAGGAUGUUGGCUUAGAAGCAGCCACCAUUCAAAGAGUGCGUAAUAGCUCACUAGUCGAGUGGCGCCGCGCCGAAAAUGUAACGGGGCUAAACAUACCACCGAAGCUGCGGAUUCCGUAAGGAAUGGUAGGGGAGCGUUCCAAACCGCUGUGAAGCUGUACCGGAAGGAGCAGUGGAGCGUUUGGAAGUGAGAAUGCCGGUGUGAGUAGCGAAAAGAGGGGUGAGAAUCCCCUCCGUCGAAAGCCCAAGGUUUCCUGAGGAAGGCUCGUCCGCUCAGGGUUAGUCUGGACCUAAGCCGAGGCCGAAAGGCGUAGGCGAUGGAUAACAGGUUGAUAUUCCUGUACCGCCGAUCCACCGUUUGAACAAUGGGGGGACGCAGGAGGAUAGUGACGCAUGCGGAUGGAAGUGCAUGUGCAAGUUUCAAGACCGUCUGAUUGGCAAAUCCGUCAGGCAUAAANNNNNNNNNNNNNNNNNNNNNNNNNNNNNNNNNNNNNGGUCAAGGAACGAUGCGGAGUCCCGUAGGGACGUAGGUCACGAUUUCACACUGCCAAGAAAAGCCUCUAGUGAGGGGNNNNNNNNNNNNNNNNNNNNNNNNNNNNNNNNNNNGAAGGCGCCAGUACCGUAAACCGACACAGGUAGGCGAGAUGAGAAUUCUAAGACGCGCGGGAUAACUCUCGUUAAGGAACUCGGCAAAAUGGUCCCGUAACUUCGGGAGAAGGGACGCUCUACAUGAGUAGAGCCGCAGUGAAUAGGCCCAAACGACUGUUUAGCAAAAACACAGGUCUCUGCUAAAUCGCAAGAUGACGUAUAGGGGCUGACGCCUGCCCGGUGCUGGAAGGUUAAGGGGAUGGGUUAGCGCAAGCGAAGCUUUGAACCGAAGCCCCAGUAAACGGCGGCCGUAACUAUAACGGUCCUAAGGUAGCGAAAUUCCUUGUCGGGUAAGUUCCGACCCGCACGAAAGGCGUAACGAUUUGGGCACUGUCUCAACGAGAGACCCGGUGAAAUCAUAGUACCUGUGAAGAUGCAGGUUACCCGCGACAGGACGGAAAGACCCCAUGGAGCUUUACUACAGCCUGAUAUUGAGGCUUUGUGCAUGAUGUACAGGAUAGGCGGGAGACGUCGAGCCCGGAGCGCCAGCUUCGGAGGAGUCACCCUUGGGAUACCGCCCUUCAUGCAUAGAGUCUCUAACUCGCAGCCGUGAUCCGGCUGGAGGACCGUGUCAGGCGGGUAGUUUGACUGGGGCGGUCGCCUCCUAAACAGUAACGGAGGCGCCCAAAGGUUCCCUCAGAAUGGUUGGAAAUCAUUCGUAGAGCGCAAAGGCAGAAGGGAGCUUGACUGCGAGACCUACAAGUCGAGCAGGGACGAAAGUCGGGCUUAGUGAUCCGGUGGUUCCGCAUGGAAGGGCCAUCGCUCAACGGAUAAAAGCUACCCUGGGGAUAACAGGCUGAUCUCCCCCAAGAGUCCACAUCGACGGGGAGGUUUGGCACCUCGAUGUCGGCUCAUCGCAUCCUGGGGCUGGAGUAGGUCCCAAGGGUUGGGCUGUUCGCCCAUUAAAGCGGUACGCGAGCUGGGUUCAGAACGUCGUGAGACAGUUCGGUCCCUAUCCGUCGUGGGCGCAGGAAAUUUGAGGAGAGCUGUCCUUAGUACGAGAGGACCGGGAUGGACGCACCGCUGGUGUACCAGUUGUUCCGCCAGGAGCAUCGCUGGGUAGCUACGUGCGGACGGGAUAAAUGCUGAAAGCAUCUAAGCAUGAAGCCCCCUCCAAGAUGAGAUUUCCCUUUGAGUAAUCAAGAAAG
rnacentral:rRNA from 1 species